rnacentral:rRNA from 1 species
UACGUAGGGUGCAAGCGUUAAUCGGAAUUACUGGGCGUAAAGCGCACGUAGGCGGUCUUUUAAGUCGGGGGUGAAAUCCUGGAGCUCAACUCCAGAACUGCCUUCGAUACUGGAAGACUUGAGUCCGGGAGAGGUGAGUGGAACUGCGAGUGUAGAGGUGAAAUUCGUAGAUAUUCGCAAGAACACCAGUGGCGAAGGCGGCUCACUGGCCCGGUACUGACGCUGAGGUGCGAAAGCGUGGGGAGCAAACAGG